rnacentral:tRNA from 1 species
GGGCAAGUGGUGGAAUGGUAUACACGAUGGACUUAAAAUCCAUUGGUCGCAAGAUCGUGAGGGUUCGACUCCCUCCUUGCCCA